rnacentral:rRNA from 1 species
GAUGAACGCUGGCGGCGUGCCUAAUACAUGCAAGUCGAGCGAACAGAUGAGGAGCUUGCUCCUCUGACGUUAGCGGCGGACGGGUGAGUAACACGUGGAUAACCUACCUAUAAGACUGGGAUAACUUCGGGAAACCGGAGCUAAUACCGGAUAAUAUAUUGAACCGCAUGGUUCAAUAGUGAAAGACGGUUUUGCUGUCACUUAUAGAUGGAUCCGCGCCGCAUUAGCUAGUUGGUAAGGUAACGGCUUACCAAGGCAACGAUGCGUAGCCGACCUGAGAGGGUGAUCGGCCACACUGGAACUGAGACACGGUCCAGACUCCUACGGGAGGCAGCAGUAGGGAAUCUUCCGCAAUGGGCGAAAGCCUGACGGAGCAACGCCGCGUGAGUGAUGAAGGUCUUCGGAUCGUAAAACGCUGUUAUUAGGGAAGAACAAAUGUGUAAGUAACUAUGCACGUCUUGACGGUACCGAAUCAGAAAGCCACGGCUAACUACGU